AAACCGCUGCAUCAUGGGGGCUGCCCGUCUGCUCCCUUUUUAGACUAAUUUUCAUCAAGCCAGGAGCCUUCCCCCAGAACUUAGCACAGGGCCUGGCAUAUGGCCGCUAGGUCCUCAACAAUUAUUCACUGAAUAAGCGAAUGACUGAAUAGAAGGUAGAGGGUUAGCUAAAAGUUUUCAUGAAAUGUGAGGAAAUGAGGCCAUUUCUAACCCUUUAACCUCUCUCCUUCAGGUACAUGUGUCAGUAUCCAGGAUGAGCUUGGAGGAGAAUGACUUGCCGGAAUCCAUCAGAAUAUCUGGAGCUCUGCAAGACGGCAAUCUCUAGGCCUGUCCCCAGUGGUCUCUGCAGCUCAGUGGAGACGAUCAUCUCUGGUGCCAGCCAGCUGUGUCCCAGGAUUCUCUCUUUAUGGUCUCCCUGCAUCAAGUCUGGGGCUUUCUGGAAUAUUCUGUGGAAGCCAUGUCUUCUCUUUUGGCGGGAUGGUAAAGUCUAGCUGAAUGGACUUGAACAUGACAAGGUGUUAACAAUGAUACACUGCACUCAUGGGACAGAAGCCAGUCCUCCCUGGACAAGAACGCUCAGAUAUCCUUAAUCUUCAACAUGACAUGCAGAGGCCAGAGAAAAUCAUCAGCUCAUGAAGAGAAAAGCUGCUUCAGCAAAACAAUGCAUCCCCAGCAAGUUCUGCUUCAGACGGAGAGGAGGAUGCCCAGAGCUGAUCCAAGGGGCAGUGUGAAAUCUAAGACCACAGCCCAGAGGUUUGCCUGCCAGGCCUGUCCAAGGAAGGAAUUCAAUGAAGAGGACAUAGGACAGUCUUGAUAUCUGCUAAAGAGUUCUCAGAGAGUUCCCAGGAAGGCAAAACUUAGAAUCUGCUGAGGUAGAGUGUGGAGGAGGGGACAGGACCAUUGCAUGACAAAGGCCUCACUCAUGCUUUCUGGGCUUCUCUCUGGUUGCACUCCCCUCCCCAGCUCGUCCUCCAAGCAAGGCUCAAUCCAGGGUGGUGAAGGCCAGCAGAAGACUUUGUCGGAGCAAUAGGAAUACACUGUGAAGAAUCUCUAAUGCUACACUGGAGCUUACUGUAUUCAAGGCAGAGACCAGGAUGCUAAGCCUUGUAGAUCCUUCUCUGCUCUUUACAUACCUCUCUUCACACCCACUUCCCUCACAUUUCAUCUCUAACCUCCCCCGCCAACAAUAACAGCAACAAUAACCUCACACCUUAGCUACAAUUCACACUCCUUGUGUAAACAAAAAGGCUCCUUAGCGAGUUUCCACAUUGUACAUUUCACUUGUUACCUCCAUAGGUGGUAUUAUUUGCACUUAGGUGUGUUAAUAGUAAGACUCUAGUAACAAUACUCAGCACAUUUUUAACCCUUCAAAGGGUUUUCUCAGCUAUCAUGUGAUUUUUACACUCUCAGAUACAAAAUUCACAGAGACCAGCAGGAUGGGUAUUGUUCCCAAUUUAUAAAUCAAGAAAAGUAAUUCACAGAUGUUAAGUGCCUUGCCUAAAGUUUAUGGCACAGUUGAAACCAGUUCCCAGGUUUCUUGAUCCUUACCCAAGGACUCAUUCUAUGAAAAAGUUCUGUGCUACCUGGGUGGAAUGAUUAUUACAGGAGAAAUUUGGCAGGGCUGAGCUGCACGUGAUGGGAAGAAAGCUACUCAAGCCAAGCCUUGCCAGUGCCCAGAUUCAAUUAAAUAUCAUCAGGAAAAGGGCGAUUCAGUGUGUGUACUUCUCAUCCCUUCCUGCUCUCAUGCUGCCCCUGGGGACUGGCACAGAACCGCAGGGACUGUGAUCCAGGCUGCUCUUCUGGGCCAGCGACGCCUCCGCCAAUAGGCUCACCCAGGAGAGGGAGGCCUGCUGGAGGCUGCAGCUCAAAGCAGAUGGGCGAGCCCAUCAAUGUACUCAACACUGCCCCCCAGCUCACGGAGGCACUGCAAGAGACAGCGACUCAAAGGCUGUCUUUAUGGACCCCAAAUGAUUCGGUUAGCCCUAUAUGCUUCCCUACCCCAGGUACACGGGUUGAGUGAGAGAACAAAGUCAGAAUUUAGGGGUCAAAGUAAGAUGAGUAAUAUUAAAAGGCAGUUAUAUGAGUGACUAAACAAAGAGAUAAACGGGUUGCUUCUUACUCCCCCAGAUGC